GGAAGCCAGAGUCACUUCGUAAAUUAACCUUGGAAGUGACAUUCCAUAUAUAUAUAUAUAUUUUCCCAUAUUCUGUUCAGUAGAGUGAACAGAGUAUCUGUCAGGCAAGAGCUGCUGUGAUGGUUUAUGAUGAUGCCAAUAAGAAGUGGGUGCCAGCUGGUGGCUCAACUGGAUUCAGCAGAGUUCAUAUCUAUCACCAUACAGGCAACAACACAUUCAGAGUGGUGGGCAGGAAGAUCCAGGACCAUCAGGUCGUGAUAAACUGUGCCAUUCCUAAAGGGUUGAAGUACAAUCAAGCUACACAGACCUUCCACCAGUGGCGAGAUGCUAGACAGGUGUAUGGUCUCAACUUUGGCAGCAAAGAGGAUGCCAAUGUCUUCGCAAGUGCCAUGAUGCAUGCCUUAGAAGUGUUAAAUUCACAGGAAACAGGGCCAACAUUGCCUAGACAAAACUCACAACUACCUGCUCAAGUUCAAAAUGGCCCAUCCCAAGAAGAAUUGGAAAUUCAAAGAAGACAACUACAAGAACAGCAACGGCAAAAGGAGCUGGAGCGGGAAAGGCUGGAGCGAGAAAGAAUGGAAAGAGAAAGGUUGGAGAGAGAGAGGUUAGAAAGGGAAAGGCUGGAGAGGGAGCGACUGGAACAAGAACAGCUGGAGAGAGAGAGACAAGAACGGGAACGGCAGGAACGCCUGGAGCGGCAGGAACGCCUGGAUCGGGAGAGGCAAGAAAGACAAGAACGAGAGAGGCUGGAGAGACUGGAACGGGAGAGGCAAGAAAGGGAGCGACAAGAGCAGUUAGAAAGGGAACAGCUGGAAUGGGAGAGAGAGCGCAGAAUAUCAAGUGCUG
rnacentral:sRNA from 1 species